rnacentral:rRNA from 1 species
UACAGAGGUCUCAAGCGUUGUUCGGAUUCAUUGGGCGUAAAGGGUGCGUAGGUGGCAUGGUAAGUCGGGUGUGAAAUCUUGGAGCUUAACUCCGAAACUGCAUUCGAUACUGCCGUGCUUGAGGACUGGAGAGGAGACUGGAAUUUACGGUGUAGCGGUGAAAUGCGUAGAUAUCGUAAGGAAGACCAGUGGCGAAGGCGGGUCUCUGGACAGUUCCUGACGCUGAGGCACGAAGGCCAGGGGAGCAAACGGG